rnacentral:rRNA from 1 species
AUUGAACGCUGGCGGCAGGCUUAACUCAUGCAAGUCGAACGAUGAAACUCUAGCUUGCUAGAGAAGAUUAGUGGCGGACGGGUGAGUAACAUUUAGGAAUCUGCCUAGUAGUGGGGAAUAGCUCGGGGAAACUCGAAUUAAUACCGCAUACGACCUACGGGUGAAAGGGGGCGCAAGCUCUUGCUAUUAGAUGAGCCUAAAUCAGAUUAGCUAGUUGGUGGGGUAAAGGCCCACCAAGGCGACGAUCUGUAACUGGUCUGAGAGGAUGAUCAGUCACACCGGAACUGAGACACGGUCCGGACUCCUACGGGAGGCAGCAGUGGGGAAUAUUGGACAAUGGGGGCAACCCUGAUCCAGCCAUGCCGCGUGUGUGAAGAAGGCCUUUUGGUUGUAAAGCACUUUAAGCAGGGAGGAGAGGCUAAUGGUUAAUACCCAUUAGAUUAGACGUUACCUGCAGAAUAAGCACCGGCUAACUCUGUGCCAGCAGCCGCGGUAAUACAGAGGGUGCGAGCGUUAAUCGGAAUUACUGGGCGUAAAGCGAGUGUAGGUGGCUCAUUAAGUCACAUGUGAAAUCCCCGGGCUUAACCUGGGAACUGCAUGUGAUACUGGUGGUGCUAGAAUAUGUGAGAGGGAAGUAGAAUUCCAGGUGUAGCGGUGAAAUGCGUAGAGAUCUGGAGGAAUACCGAUGGCGAAGGCAGCUUCCUGGCAUAAUAUUGACACUGAGAUUCGAAAGCGUGGGUAGCAAACAGGAUUAGAUACCCUGGUAGUCCACGCCGUAAACGAUGUCUACUAGCCGUUGGGGUCCUUGAGACUUUAGUGGCGCAGUUAACGCGAUAAGUAGACCGCCUGGGGAGUACGGCCGCAAGGUUAAAACUCAAAUGAAUUGACGGGGGCCCGCACAAGCGGUGGAGCAUGUGGUUUAAUUCGAUGCGACGCGAAGAACCUUACCUGGUCUUGACAUAGUGAGAAUCUCUCAGAGAUGAGAGAGUGCCUUCGGGAACUCACAUACAGGUGCUGCAUGGCUGUCGUCAGCUCGUGUCGUGAGAUGUUGGGUUAAGUCCCGCAACGAGCGCAACCCUUUUCCUUAUUUGCCAGCGGGUUAAGCCGGGAACUUUAAGGAUACUGCCAGUGACAAACUGGAGGAAGGCGGGGACGACGUCAAGUCAUCAUGGCCCUUACGACCAGGGCUACACACGUGCUACAAUGGUAGGUACAGAGGGUUGCUACACAGCGAUGUGAUGCUAAUCUCAAAAAGCCUAUCGUAGUCCGGAUUGGAGUCUGCAACUCGACUCCAUGAAGUCGGAAUCGCUAGUAAUCGCGGAUCAGAAUGCCGCGGUGAAUACGUUCCCGGGCCU